CCCAGACUCCUACGGGAGGCAGCAGUGAGGAAUAUUGGUCAAUGGCCGGAAGGCUGAACCAGCCAAGCCGCGUGAAGGACGAAGGCGCCAAGCAUUGUAAACUUCUUUUGUCAAGGGACAAAAUCAGGCUCGAGAGCCUGACCGAGGGUACUUGAAGAAAAAGCAUCGGCUAACUCCGUGCCAGCAGCCGCGGUAAUACGGAGGAUGCGAGCGUUAUCCGGAUUUAUUGGGGUUAAAGGGUGCGUAGGCGGGAUUGUAAGUCCGGGGUGAAAGGCCGGGGCCCAACCCCGGGCGAGCAGUUGAAACUGGCUGUCUUGAGAUGUCGAGAGGUAUGCGGAAUGCGCAGUGUAGCGGUGAAAUGCGUAGAUAUUGCGCGGAACUCCGAUUGCGAAGGCAGCAUGCCGGCGGCGAUCUGACGCUGAGGCACGAAAGCGUGGGUAUCGAACAGGAUUAGAUACCCUAGUAU
rnacentral:rRNA from 1 species